UUUCCAAGAAAAUUACUCCGUAAUAUAUUUCUAUGCUUCCACUGCCUCCACUGCAUCCUCUGUCGUCGCCGUUUCUCCUCCGGACAGCAGACAACGCCACUGCCUCUACCGCCGGCGACAGCUUGAGCUCCGUCGACAAUGAUUCAAUGAAAUGUCCUAGUCAACCACAGUGAAUCUCCAUUGCUACUUGUGCUUUCUGGAAGCAUGAAACUUGGGUUCUAAAGGGUGAGAAUUUAUCAAGUUGUUAGUCUCAAUUGGUUUUUUCUCUCUGAAAUAUUUAUGUGGACUGGGUUGAUUUCCAUUAGAGUUUAUUGUCUCCAAUGAUUACCAGCCAACUGAAUCCCAAAGCUCUCCAGAGAAUAGCCAGACAACCGUCGCAAUUGGUGAAGACAUUGUGCUCUUUUCAAAAUGAGCACCACGUGUUUGAUAGAAGUCCUAGACCAACUCUUAAGUCUAUACACCAUUCCAUGCUUAAUUUUAUUCACCAGAGUCAAUUUGAAGCUCUUAAAGUUUUCAAGAAACAGUUUCAAAUGGGUGUCUCAGAGAUUGAUGAGGUUGCCAUUGCGUUAGCUCUCAAAGCAUGCAAAGGUGACUUGACAUUUGGGUCUCAAUUACAUAGUCUUACUAUAAGAAGUGCAUUCUUUUCUUAUAUUACCGUCCCGAAUUCAUUGAUGAAUAUGUAUUGCAAAUCUGGACAGUUGAUUUGUGGAUAUCAUUGUACAUUCAUUUUUUUUUUUUUCAGAAUAUUGUGUGCCGAGGAUUAGCAUUUGUGUGACAAUGUUAGGAAAUUUGUAUGCUUAGUACAUAUGUUUUUCACGACUUAA